AGGCCACGCCUGCCCGGUGACUAGAAGUUUAACGGCCGCGGUAUUAUGACCGUGCAAAGGUAGCGUAAUCACUUGUCUUUUAAAUGGAGACCUGUAUGAAAGGCGAGACGAGGGCAAAUCUGUCUCCCCUCUUAUGUCAAUGAAACUGAUUUCCCCGUGCAGAAGCGGGGAUGCAGUCACAAGACGAGAAGACCCUGUGGAGCUUUAGACUUUAGUGAGCUCGCCCAAAGUAUAAGUACUAACUGAAUAAAGACACGGCCCCCCUCCCCUAAAUGUCUUUGGUUGGGGCGACCGCGGAGAUAAACUAAACCCCCGCGUGGAUAGGGGGUAACCCCUAUAAUCAAGAGCUACAGCUCUAUAUAUCAGGAUUCCUGACUUCUAAUGAUCCGGCCUGCCGAUCAACGAACCGAGUUACCCUAGGGAUAACAGCGCAAUCCUCUUUAAGAGCCCCUAUCGACAAGAGGGUUUACGACCUCGAUGUUGGAUCAGGAUAUCCUAAUGGUGCAGCCGCUAUUAAAGGUUCGUUUGUU
rnacentral:rRNA from 1 species